UACGUAGGGUGCAAGCGUUAAUCGGAAUUACUGGGCGUAAAGCGUGCGCAGGCGGUUUUGUAAGUCUGUCGUGAAAUCCCCGGGCUUAACCUGGGAAUUGCGAUGGAGACUGCAAGGCUAGAAUCUGGCAGAGGGGGGUAGAAUUCCACGUGUAGCAGUGAAAUGCGUAGAGAUCAUGAGGAAGACCAGUGGCGAAGGCGGGUCUCUGGACAGUUCCUGACACUGAGGCACGAAGGCCAGGGGAGCAAACAGG
rnacentral:rRNA from 1 species